UCCUGAUCUGUCUUUCAGAGGGAUCCCGAAGGAUAAAAGUCAAGAUCAGGAUACUUCACUAGUGGACAAAAUGGAGUCAACGUUGUUUACUGAAUCAUCUCCUCCUAUUGGUGAAGCCAAAAGAGCUGCUGGACUCCUGAUUCAGCAUUUGAUGUGCAGAAGGAGGAAAAUACCCGAGAGCCAGAUUUAUUGCCAUUGCAAAUAAUCAAAACUGAAAUUCCUGGGGAGACAUCUACAAAUAAGUGGGGAAGGAGGAAACCUGAACAGAAGCACAAUCAGAGAGAAAAAU
rnacentral:lncRNA from 1 species